GACGAACGCUGGCGGCGUGCUUAACACAUGCAAGUCGAACGGAAAGGCCCUGCUUUUGUGGGGUGCUCGAGUGGCGAACGGGUGAGUAACACGUGAGUAACCUGCCCUUGACUUUGGGAUAACUUCAGGAAACUGGGGCUAAUACCGGAUAGGAGCUCCUGCUGCAUGGUGGGGGUUGGAAAGUUUCGGCGGUUGGGGAUGGACUCGCGGCUUAUCAGCUUGUUGGUGGGGUAGUGGCUUACCAAGGCUUUGACGGGUAGCCGGCCUGAGAGGGUGACCGGCCACAUUGGGACUGAGAUCCGGCCCAGACUCCUACGGGAGGCAGCAGUGGGGAAUAUUGCACAAUGGGCGGAAGCCUGAUGCAGCAACGCCGCGUGCGGGAUGACGGCCUUCGGGUUGUAAACCGCUUUCGCCUGUGACGAAGCGUGAGUGACGGUAAUGGGUAAAGAAGCACCGGCUAACUACGUG
rnacentral:rRNA from 1 species